UACAGAGGGUGCGAGCGUUAAUCGGAAUUACUGGGCGUAAAGCGUGCGCAGGCGGUGAUGUAAGACAGAUGUGAAAUCUCCGGGCUUAACCUGGGAAUGGCAUUCGGGACUGCAAGGCUGGAGUGCGGCAGAGGAGACUGGAAUUCCUGGUGUAGCAGUGAAAUGCGUAGAUAUCAGGAGGAACACCGAUGGCGAAGGCAGGUCUCUGGGCUGACACUGACGCUCAUGCACGAAAGCGUGGGGAGCAAACAGG
rnacentral:rRNA from 1 species